CAGUGAGCCGAGAUCAUGCCACUGCACUCCAGCACAGGCAACACAGCGAGACUCCGUCUCAAAAAAAAAAAAAAAAAAAAAUUAAUUCAGCUUUACUGUAAGUCUGAAAACAUUCAUAAUAAAAUGUUGGGGGGGAAAAGAUUCAUUCUGAUUGAUGGUGUGAGAAGAGGCUGAAGGGGUCAAAGGUAGAGCAGGGAGAACGGAUGUGGAGGCUAAUAGGAUAAUCCAGGGGAAAGCUGGUGGCUUGGAGAUAGCGGUGGUACUGGAGGUGGAGACAGGGUUUUGAGUCUGCUGUUGUUUGGAGGGACAGCCAGGAGGAUUUCAUAGCAGAUUGGUUGCAGGGUAUGAGAAAGAGAGGGGUCAAGCUUGACAUCAAGUUCUUUGGCCUGGACAGAUGUAGUUACCCGUCCUAGACAAUGGCCAGGCUGCUGUAUUCCAUGCUUCGAUUUUAGAAGGGCCCUUGCCCCACUGUAAAGCAGGUGAAUGUGUCUCUGUGUCCUCCUUUCCCAAGGACUUUCCUUGUCCUCCCCAGACCCAGGCUGUCACCCUGUGUGGCUUCUCCUAGCCUGACCCCUUUAUGAUGCUCAUUGCAUGCUUCCAUCCAAGCCUUGGUAUUGCUAUGGAGUAGAAAUAGAGCUAAACUUGGAGUCAGAAGACCAUGCCUCAGAUACAUUGCCGAACUUUUCAGAAUCCCAGUUUUCUCUUUCAUAAAACAAAGCUAAAAAUGCCCAUCAAGAGUAUGGUGGAAGUGAGAAAACAAGUGAUUGAACAUUGAACUUGAAGAGAAUCUUGUGCAUUUACUCUUUCCUGCUCUGUUUUCUUCACAUGUCAUUCCCCACUGAAAUUUGCCCAUUUUGGAUCUCAUUACCCUGAAGGUCCUGGAUUUGUUGGAAAGUUCCGUGUAAUUCCUGGAGUUCUAUGGUGACGUUGUCAAGUACAAAGCGCUGGCCUAGGAGCUACGACAUGGGAGUUCCAAGCCUGCUCUUUCUCGCACGAGCUGAGGGUGAAUAGAAGAAGAUCAAGAGGCAGUGAUGUGUCAUUAUGAUCUCCAUUUCAUACACAAAGAACGGAGCUUCACAGUGGUUAAGUAACUUGGCUGAACUUACACCAGCAUGAAGAUUCAAAUUCCAGUCCAAAACUUAUGGAAAUAUCUAUUAGAGAAGCCUGUAUUAGUUCUCUACCAGAUAUAUUUUCCUAGAUUCAGAAAAGCCUGAAUUUGCAAAAAGUUUGUUUCGAUCAUCAUAGGCAAGGUGAAAUAGAAAGUCGAAGAAAUCAUCUCGGUCAUUACGAGUCCUCAAGUAGUUGCUUUUUGUACUUUGAAUAAAGACUUUAGUCAUAGUAGGAGAGAUAGACUGUAAUGGACUUACUUCACGAUGGCUGCACCAGAGGUUCCAAGAACGAUGGCUUUCAACUUCAACCCACAUCUAAAACACACCACUGUAGCCACACCCUACACCCUGUGGUUAUCCAGUUGUGAGUCCUAUUGGAGAGAUGAGGUACGUCCACUGGGGAAAACCUAAGGAUGAGAGGUACAGAGGUUAGAUGAAAACAUGAAGAUACUAUCCUCAAGGUUAUUCAGAGAGUCAUAGAGAAAAGAAGAAAGCGAUAGUUAAUAAGGAGACUUAGGUUCCUUAGAAGGAAAUUAACCAGCCAUCAAACUGAUGAUGUUUAGAUUGGAAACACAAAUGGAUGAUGAGUUAACCAACAGAACUAAAUCAGAUCAGGAGUAUAAAACUGAGGAGUGAGGAGGGAAGCCUGACAAGUGAGGAGGUACAAAAUGGCCACCCAUGGGCAUCUAGUUGAUCAUUAUUUCUACAUAAGCUACUGUACAACUCACAGAGUGAGGAUGGAUGCUUACAAAUAACAGACUGGAAUGAGCAACUCAGAAUUGCUGCACCUCUAAAAUCAAAUCACAAUACUCCAUGCUCUGCCUAUAACCUACUAUCCUUUGCUAUUAUUGUGUUUGCUAUUCAUCUGCAUCAAUUCUUUUAAUUCUAUGAAUUUUGUUCCCAUCAAUUGUUCCUAAUCGAUCAGCCCAUUCUGGUUUAACUUUUGUUUUGUUCCCUUCCUGAACACUGGUCUUUCAUUUCAAUCUUUCUUCCUGGGCACCCACAAAUCUCUCAAUCCAUUUUCUUCCUUAUGUCUGUCCUUAAAACAACUUCCCUCCACCUUCAGAUUAAUCUAAUCCUCUGACCUCUACUCUCCUACUCAAACUAUUAAACACAGCUGAAAUGCCUUCUAUUUUAGGCUGUUACUCACAUCUUCCAUCCCAGCAGCUUAUUCAUACCACCAUCUUCCGUCACCAGGAUCACCACCACUAGCCUUAUACACUUGACUAUCACUCAUACCUAUUAGAAUCAAUUCUCUACACAUCAGACAAACUGAGCUUUAUAAAACACAAAUCAGUUUGCAUUACUUCUUUGCUAUAAACAUUCAAAGACUUGUCAUUUCCAUUAGGACUCUGGCCUACACAGGCCCCCAUGAUCUGACCCUGCCUGCCUCUUCCACCUUUGCCAUAACAAUCUCCUCCUCUUUCCUGGCCUUCUUGCCAUUUCUUAAAAAUGACAUGCUUAUUCCUAUUUCAGGCUGUUACACUUGCUCUUGUCUGCCCAGAAUUCCACACACCUUCUCCAUCUUACGCAGGUCAAGCUCAAAUGUCACCUGUUUGUCUCUGUAAAAAAUGGAAUCCCUCCUUCAUUAUUAUCUUUGCCUUUAUUCUGCUUUUUUUUUCCCCUAGUGCUUAUCACUCUCUGAAACUAUGUUAUUUGUUUGCUUAUUUCUUUGCUGUAGCCCACACCAGAUCAGGAACUCCUCAAAAGCAAGACCUUAAAACUAUCUUAUUUGGCUACCAUAUCCAUAACUUAUAAAACAGUACUCAGCAUACAAUAGACACCAGGUAAAUAGUUGUUGGAUCUGUUGAAUUAUCACCAUGAAAGCUAAAAUCCUCUAGGAUAAUGGUGGGAGUCAGGGUGAGAGUGAGGUGUCAAUGUCACCUGAUGAGUUGAAGAAAAGAUAAUUUUACUAUUUGAGAGAAAGGACUGAAAUAUGAUAUGCUAAGGAGUUGUUGCUGAAUUUAAAUUUUUUUAGGGAAUCUAUAUUAAAAUAUGCUGUAUAUUUGAUAUUAGACCUAGAGGUCAGUGUAACCCAUUCACAGGGUUUGCAAGUAUCAUUUGUGUCAUCCUCAGUUUUGCAAAUAAAAUGUUGCACUUUUAAAAGAUAAAUGUAAGUAGCUUAAGCAGAAGUAGUUAGGUAUAUUUUUUCACUUUUUCUUUUUGGUCCAGAUCUGGCAUGGUUCCUAGACAUGUGAAAUUAGUGAUGUGGAAAAAUGUAAAUAUAUAGCUAAUGCAAUAAGCUUCACAAAAAUAUUUUGUUCUAUACAGUGUUCAGCAUUUUAACCAGCUCCAUGGAUUUCAGUAGGAAGUCUCAAAAAUGUAUCAUGCCUUUUCUGUAUUUUAUAGGAAGAAUAUCAUGAAUUUAGCUGGUAUUAGAAAGUAGAACUUGGAAAAUAGAGUGUAACUGGAAAAUGAAGGGACUUAACUGAGACAAACAGCCUCUUCUUAUCCAUUUUUAAAAUGUUCAGAUUUAACUAGAUGACCAUGACCAUGAAGAACUUCUCAAGCUCUUUGGUUCUACAGGUGUAUGACAGUUUCCUGGAGGGGGUCAUAUGGAUCUACUACUACCUUCCCACUGACAUUAGGCAGAUGUUCAUUAGAUUGGUUUGAUAGAUGUAAUGGUUAAUAUUGAGUGUCAACUUGAUUGGAUUGAAGGAUGCAAAGUAUUGUUCCUGGGUGCGUCUGUGAGGGUGUUGCCAAAGGAGAUUAACAUUUGAAUCAUUGGACUGGGAGAGGCAGACCCACCCUCAAUCUGGGUGGGCACAAUCUAAUCAGCUGCCAGCAUGGCCAGCAUAAAAGCAGGCAGAAGAAUGUGGAAGGAGUAGACUGGCUCAGUCUCCUGGCCUACAUCUUUCUCCCACGCUGCAUGCUUCCUGCCCUCGAACAUUGGACUCCAAGUUCUUCAGUUUUGGGACUCUUGAACCUUUGACCACAGACUGAAGGCUACACUGUUGACUUCCCUACUUUUGAGCUUUUAGGACUCGGACUGGCUUCCUUGUUCCUCAGCUUGCAGACGGCCUAUUGUGGGACCUCACUUUGUGAUCAUGUGAGUCAAUACUCCUUAAUAAACUCUCCUUUAAAUAUACAUCUAUCUUGUUAGUUCUGUCCCUCUAGAGAACCUUGACUAAUACGAUAGGGAAGCCAUAGUGACUGUCACUAAUAUUCUAAUAAAAGAAUUAUUAUCUAUGCCAACUCUGGAGAGCCACAGGUAAGCUAUACAUAGAUCAAAGUGUAAACCAGGGGUUCUCUGAGUGUGAUUCCUGGACCAGCAGUAUGUGGUGACAUUUGAAAUGCAAAUUCUUGGGCCCCACCUCAGACCACUGAAUUAGAAACUCCAGAGGUGGAGCUCAGCAGUUUGUUUUAACUAGUUCUCCAGGUGAUGCUGAGGCACAUCACAGUUGGAAAUGGUGAGGUAAGUAAGGAAUUUCAGCAGUUCAACUGCUGAAAUGUAGAUCUUAACAAAGUGCUAAAUGAAUAGAGGAAAAAGGGAUAAUUAUCUGAGACAUUUGGAUCUUGUUUCACGAAUAGGAGUUCAGAUGAAGUUAGGGAGGUCUUUUGAAGUAUAGGAAACAAGACAUGCAAAGACUGGGGAGGUUAGGAAGACCAGACCUAUUUCAAGAUAUACAAUGGCCUAGUGGGGCUUGAGGUAGCAGGGUGCAUUCUUUUUCUUAGAUAUGCUUCCUCCUCUCUGCUCCAUGGUGCCACACAUGAUGCUGGUGAUAAAGGAGACUGAGCGAGGGUAAAGAUUCACAGUGCCAGCAAGGGCUUGGACAUUGGCAGCCUAUGGAUCAAAUUGUGCUUGCAGAUGGGCUGUAUUUGGUAUUUUAUUGUACAAACACUAUGUAUUUGGCAUAGCAUUAUACAAAUAAAUGUGAACUAACAUUUAAUAAUCAGUUUGGAUGUAUAUAUGUGUAUAUAUAUUAUGUAUAAAUAACAUAUAUGCUAACACAAAAAUAUAUGUGCUAUAUUUAUAUUCUAUACAAAUAACAUAUAAAUAUAUGUUAACAUAUAAAAAUAUAUG
rnacentral:lncRNA from 10 species